AGCAGCCGCGGUAAUUCCAGCUCCAAUAGCGUAUAUUAAAGUUGUUGCAGUUAAAAAGCUCGUAGUUGAAUUUCGGGGUUAGUAGGUUGGUCAUGCCUCUGGUAUGUACUGGUCUCACUGAUUCCUCCUUCCUGAUGAGCCGUAAUGCCAUUAAUUUGGUGUUGCGGGGAAUCUGGACUGUUACUUUGAAAAAAUUAGAGUGUUUAAAGCAAGCUAACGCUUGAAUACAUUAGCAUGGAAUAAUGAAAUAGGACGUUCGAUCCUAUUUUGUUGGUUUCUAGGAUUGACGUAAUGAUUAAUAGGGAUAGUUGGGGGCAUUAGUAUUCAAUUGUCAGAGGUGAAAUUCUUGGAUUUAUUGAAGACUAACUACUGCGAAAGCGUUUGCCAAGGAUGUUUUCAUUAAUCAAGAACGAAAGUUAGGGGAUCGAAGACGAUCAGAUACCGUCGUAGUCUUAACCAUAAACUAUGCCGACUAGGGAUCGGAUGAUGUUAAUUUUUUAAUGACUCAUUCGGCGCCUUA
rnacentral:misc_RNA from 1 species